GUGAGACUGAGAUCAGUCCUUCAGGCAGUCCCAAGACUGAUUAGAACAAAUCAAAUAAGUUAUGCUUAGCUACCUCCAGCUGAAGCAAGGAAAUUGGAAGCUGGGCUAUUACCUCUUCCAGAUCAAGUCUGGAGGGGUUAGGACAGGGGCAGAAGAUUAAACGAGUCUUCUUGUCACUCCAAGAAGAAAGGCCAUGGAUACUGAAAUCAUGGGUUCCCCAACAAAACAUCCCAGCAAGAUCACCCUACAGUGAAGUUUACAAUCAGAAACUAUGCUCAUGUGCUCAGAGAUUCCAACCAGCUUUUUACUCCCCCCACUGUUAUAUACAGCAGCAAUCAAAUAUUUCUAGACAUAUGAUGAUAAUUUCUAACAUAAAAGAUAGAUAUUAAAACAAAAAAAUGGAGAAAAAUAAACAACUUGUAUAGAACAGAGACUAUGAA
rnacentral:lncRNA from 1 species